rnacentral:rRNA from 1 species
GCGUUCUAAGGGCGGUGAAGUCAGACCGGAAGGACUGGUGGAGCGCUUAGAAGUGAGAAUGCCGGUAUGAGUAGCGAAAGAAGGGUGAGAAUCCCUUCCACCGAAUAUCUAAGGUUUCCUGAGGAAGGCUCGUCCGCUCAGGGUUAGUCGGGACCUAAGCCGAGGCCGAUAGGCGUAGGCGAUGGACAACAGGUAGAGAUUCCUGUACCAGUGCUAAUUGUUUAACCGAUGGGGUGACACAGAAGGAUAGGGAAUCGCACGAAUGGAAAUGUGCGUCCAAGCAGUGAGUGUGAGAAGUAGGCAAAUCCGCUUCUCGCGAAGCAUGAGCUGUGAUGGGGAAGGAAAUUAAGUACGGAAGUUCCUGAUUUCACGCUGUCAAGAAAAGCCUCUAGGAAGAGUAGUACUGCCCGUACCGCAAACCGACACAGGUAGAUGAGGAGAGAAUCCUAAGGUGAGCGAGAGAACUCUCGUUAAGGAACUCGGCAAAAUGACCCCGUAACUUCGGGAGAAGGGGUGCUCUAUUAGGGUGCAAGCCCGAGAGAGCCGCAGUGAAUAGGCCCAGGCGACUGUUUAGCAAAAACACAGGUCUCUGCAAAACCGUAAGGUGACGUAUAGGGGCUGACGCCUGCCCG